GCUCUAGAAAACGAGACAAUGGUUUCCUACAAGCUGUCUAGAAAGACGUUGGCGAUGUCCGUGGUGGUGCUGGUUGCUGUACUUGGGAUGACUGUCCCGGUGAACGCCCAGGACAGCUCGACCACCACCACCACCAGUACGACUACGACCACGACGCGGAGACCGGCCGCUGUAGAUGUCGGCUUGGGAGGCACCGUUGGAGGUGUGGGAGACACACUUGGGAACACCCUGGGAGGCGGUGUGUUACACGUCAGCCGCGCUGGAAGGGCUCCAGCAAUUUCAUCAGUCCACAACCGCAACUAGAAGGCCCGGACGUAGUUACAUACAAAGUUUACAAUAUUACUUUUGUACGUUCAACAGUGAAUAAAUCUCAGAAGAGACGAUGAAUUUC